rnacentral:lncRNA from 1 species
CUUGUCUAUGCUGCCUGGCUCAAUUCUUGCAGAAGCCUGUAAGACACGCCACCAUUUCCCUGUUUUACAGAUGAGAAGCUUCAGGCUCAGAAAGAUUCAGUGCCAGGAGAAGGGCACUUAGUCUGACUCCAGAGAGCUUUUCUUAAGGUGAUCUGACUUACGCAUCUGGCUGAAGAAGUCAUACGUCAUGUGUGGGUAAUGCUUCCCUUUCUGCAAUUGACGUGUGCUUGAAAGUGGCAUUGGAGAAAGAUGCUGGAGAUGGAAUCCUAUUUUCGAAGGCAUCGGGUGCUGGUAAAACACCAACCAUUGAGCUUGGUGGAGGUCAAGCCAGUCCACAGCAGCGCCUUUCAACAGGGAAUGGAGUUUUAUCGGAAAUCUGCUGUGUGCCAGCGCUUUCUAUAUUUUCUCAUUUCACAAUAGUCAUGUGAUUUUCCUUUUUGUACCUAUUUUUAAUUGAAAAAGUAAUACAUGUUUGAUGAAAAAUACUAUGAUUGCCAAACAAAUAUGCGAUGUAAUACAAGACCUCUCUCACUGCAGGGACCUCGUUC